rfam:Brachypodium distachyon strain Bd21 chromosome 3, whole genome shotgun sequence.
CUGUUACUUCCUCCAUCCAAUAAAGGAUGUCUCAAUUUUGACUAAAUUUGAAUGCAUCUAUACACUAAGUCAUGUCUAGAUACAUCCAAAUUUUGACAAACUUAAGACAUCUUUUGUUGGACGGUGGGAGUAUUAC